rnacentral:tmRNA from 1 species
GGGGGCGCCCUGGUUUCGACGGGGAUGAUGAAACCACGGCUGCAGGCCGAGGUGCUGCGAGGCCUCGUAAAACACGCAGCAGGCAUUCAACUGCCAACGAUCACGAAUACGCCCUGGCUGCUUAAGACAGCCAGCGUUUCUCCGGCCCAUCGCCUGGUAAGCCGAUAGAAGCGACGACACUUCAGGCUGGCGUUGAUUCCUUUGUUCGUCGGGAGUCAAAGCGAGACACAGACGAACUGGCCGCGGGGGCCGCCCGGACAGGGGCACUCCCCAAGGCGAGAACUUAAACCUGUCCUAAGCCUGUAGACGUCGCUGGCGGACCGUUCUCGGACGGGGGUUCGAUUCCCCCCGCCUCCACCA